AGAAGCGAGCCGACAACCGUAUUCUGAUCGGCGAGUCCGGAGCGGUGGCCGCUCUGAUUCCGCUGCUCUGGUGCAGUGAUUCGUGGACGCAAGAACACGCGGUGACGGCGUUGCUGAACCUGUCUCUUUUGGAAGAGAACAAGGCGUUUAUAACGAAUGCGGGUGCAGUGAAGUCGCUAAUAUACGUGCUGAAAAGAGGGACGAAGACUUGGAAGCAGCACGCGGUUUUUUGCAAGGAGGAGUGACAAAAGCAGAAGAGAGACCACAAAAGAGGGCUUCAUUUUGAAAGAAAAAUCUUGGGAAGAAAUGAGCAAGUUAAUCCUUAAACAAAGAGGACCUAUUAGCUGAGCUAGCUCGAAGGGAAAAGGAAGCUGGAAUAUUUCCAGAGGCAGAACUUGACCUUUUCAUGAAGGCUAUUGCAAUGGAAGGAACAGAAAGCAGAGUCUCAUUACGGACUAUACACUCAAAAUAUUGGGGCUUGAUAUUUGCAAAGAUACCAUUGUGGGUGAUGAAAUGCAGAGAGGUGUAUCUGGUGGCCAAAACAAGCGUGUAACCACAGUCAGGACACUGCAUUUUGAUACCUGUGGAACUGCAAAGAGUACUUGGAUAAGGCAGUUCGCAUUAUCCUGACAACUGAUAAUGAUCCACUAGGUCAAGCUUUAGCGGAAGAGCUGGCACGGUGCCUUAGGCGAGAAAGGGAAUAGAGGCUGCAAGGUAGCUGGAAUCUGAAGGCAUACAGACACAUUUAACCUUUGUCUACAGAAGGACGUAUGAGACUUUCAAAAGCUUCUACGGUCUUUGAUCCCUAGAAAUUCAAGAGGAUAAUGCGGGCAACCCAAGGUAUGCCACAAGCUUUGAUGUAAUUAUGCGGGCAACCCAAGGCUGGCAUGAUCCAGAAGUCAACUAACCAAACUGAUCAAAAUGAGGAUGCUAAGGAACAAGUUAAUGGUAAUUCCAAAGGGAAGGCUGACAAAACAUUAGGUGCUGGAAAGAAAAGAGGUAGAAAUACAGGAGGAAAAACACAAGCAAAGAUAGCAAAGAAAAAAACUCCAGGUUCCAAAAAGGCAAAGAUCAAGAAAUGAUUCAAAGAAACUCUAUGUAAUUUCUUGUAUAUGCCAUGAACCAAUAAAACUCAAUCCUUGGUUUAAAUGCAGUUUGGAGCAUAAUCUCCCUGAUAGCCCUUUUGCUUCCCCAACAAAAGCUGCUGUUCCUGGAGACUUCAUGGCUCCCUUCUCCAAUGGACCUAAUGUGGCCAUUGAUGCAGAUGCCUUAUACAGAUUACAUGAAGCCUAAUACAGAGACUUACAAUUGGGUUAUUCAAGCUUAUACUAGAGUUGAAUUUUAUGCCAGCUAAAUACAAUAUUUCAUGAAGCCAGCUCACGAUCAGUACGUUUACAGCCAUGCCAAUGGCUUGUGCGUGAUUGGGUUGGCUCCUUCCCACAUUGCUUUCAAGGAUGAAGGUGGAAUCACAGCCGUUGAUUUCAAUGUUGGAAAGUCUGAUCGUAGUGGGAUAAAAGUCACUGAAAAGCAGAAGAAGGAGCAUAUGGUUAGGUGAAUGACUUUAAAGAACCUCGUGCUAGAGGAUGUUGGGACGCAAUGCUCUGAUAGGAAGUGACAUUGGGGCGUGGGUUUCUAUAUUAUUUGCAUAAUAUUUUGAACAUAUGUUACUUUAUAUUGUUCCACUACUUAACUUAUUUUCCUUUUGUAAAAAAAGAUUGGACGACCUUGUU